GGGUUGUGAGGUUAAGCGACUAAGCGUACACGGUGGAUGCCCUGGCAGUCAGAGGCGAUGAAGGGCGUGCUAAUCUGCGAUAAGCGCCGGUAAGGUGAUAUGAACCGUUAUAACCGGCGAUACCCGAAUGGGGAAACCCAGUGUGACUCGUCACACUAUCAUUAACUGAAUCCAUAGGUUAAUGAGGCGAACCGGGGGAACUGAAACAUCUAAGUACCCCGAGGAAAAGAAAUCAACCGAGAUUCCCCCAGUAGCGGCGAGCGAACGGGGAGGAGCCCAGAGCCUGAAUCAGCAUGUGUGUUAGUGGAAGCGUCUGGAAAGGCGCGCGAUACAGGGUGACAGCCCCGUACACAAAAGCGCAUGUGCUGUGAGCUCGAUGAGUAGGGCGGGACACGUGGUAUCCUGUCUGAAUAUGGGGGGACCAUCCUCCAAGGCUAAAUACUCCUGACUGACCGAUAGUGAACCAGUACCGUGAGGGAAAGGCGAAAAGAACCCCGGCGAGGGGAGUGAAAAAGAACCUGAAACCGUGUACGUACAAGCAGUGGGAGCCCCACCACCAAAGCAUUUGCUGUACCGCGUUGACGGAGCGAAGCGACGUCAAACCGAUAAAACAGCAGUGUAAAGUGAGCCGCAGGGCGCUUUGCGCGACAGCGCAAAGGCAGGCGGUUUCGCGUAGCGAAAGCGAAUGCUUUGGGGUGGGGUGACUGCGUACCUUUUGUAUAAUGGGUCAGCGACUUAUAUUCUGUAGCAAGGUUAACCGAAUAGGGGAGCCGGAGGGAAACCGAGUCUUAAUUGGGCGUUAAGUUGCAGGGUAUAGACCCGAAACCCGGUGAUCUAGCCAUGGGCAGGUUGAAGGUUGGGUAACACUAACUGGAGGACCGAACCGACUAAUGUUGAAAAAUUAGCGGAUGACCUGUGGCUGGGGGUGAAAGGCCAAUCAAACCGGGAGAUAGCUGGUUCUCCCCGAAAGCUAUUUAGGUAGCGCCUCGUGAAUUCAUCUCCGGGGGUAGAGCACUGUUUCGGCUAGGGGGCCAUCCCGGCUUACCAACCCGAUGCAAACUGCGAAUACCGGAGAAUGUUAUCACGGGAGACACACGGCGGGUGCUAACGUCCGUCGUGAAGAGGGAAACAACCCAGACCGCCAGCUAAGGUCCCAAAGUCAUGGUUAAGUGGGAAACGAUGUGGGAAGGCCCAGACAGCCAGGAUGUUGGCUUAGAAGCAGCCAUCAUUUAAAGAAAGCGUAAUAGCUCACUGGUCGAGUCGGCCUGCGCGGAAGAUGUAACGGGGCUAAACCAUGCACCGAAGCUGCGGCAGCGACACUGUGUGUUGUUGGGUAGGGGAGCGUUCUGUAAGCCUGCGAAGGUGGCCUGUGAGGGUUGCUGGAGGUAUCAGAAGUGCGAAUGCUGACAUAAGUAACGAUAAAGCGGGUGAAAAGCCCGCUCGCCGGAAGACCAAGGGUUCCUGUCCAACGUUAAUCGGGGCAGGGUGAGUCGACCCCUAAGGCGAGGCCGAAAGGCGUAGUCGAUGGGAAACGGGUUAAUAUUCCCGUACUUGGUGUUACUGCGAAGGGGGGACGGAGAAGGCUAUGUUGGCCGGGCGACGGUUGUCCCGGUUUAAGCGUGUAGGUGUGUGUUCCAGGUAAAUCCGGUUCACUUUAACACUGAGGCGUGACGACGAGGCACUACGGUGCUGAAGCAACAAAUGCCCUGCUUCCAGGAAAAGCCUCUAAGCAUCAGGUAACAUCAAAUCGUACCCCAAACCGACACAGGUGGUCAGGUAGAGAAUACCAAGGCGCUUGAGAGAACUCGGGUGAAGGAACUAGGCAAAAUGGUGCCGUAACUUCGGGAGAAGGCACGCUGACACGUAGGUGAAGUGAUUUACUCAUGGAGCUGAAGUCAGUCGAAGAUACCAGCUGGCUGCAACUGUUUAUUAAAAACACAGCACUGUGCAAACACGAAAGUGGACGUAUACGGUGUGACGCCUGCCCGGUGCCGGAAGGUUAAUUGAUGGGGUCAGCGCAAGCGAAGCUCCUGAUCGAAGCCCCGGUAAACGGCGGCCGUAACUAUAACGGUCCUAAGGUAGCGAAAUUCCUUGUCGGGUAAGUUCCGACCUGCACGAAUGGCGUAAUGAUGGCCAGGCUGUCUCCACCCGAGACUCAGUGAAAUUGAACUCGCUGUGAAGAUGCAGUGUACCCGCGGCAAGACGGAAAGACCCCGUGAACCUUUACUAUAGCUUGACACUGAACAUUGAGCCUUGAUGUGUAGGAUAGGUGGGAGGCUUUGAAGUGUGGACGCCAGUCUGCAUGGAGCCGACCUUGAAAUACCACCCUUUAAUGUUUGAUGUUCUAACGUGGACCCGUUACCCGGGUUGCGGACAGUGUCUGGUGGGUAGUUUGACUGGGGCGGUCUCCUCCUAAAGAGUAACGGAGGAGCACGAAGGUUGGCUAAUCCUGGUCGGACAUCAGGAGGUUAGUGCAAUGGCAUAAGCCAGCUUGACUGCGAGCGUGACGGCGCGAGCAGGUGCGAAAGCAGGUCAUAGUGAUCCGGUGGUUCUGAAUGGAAGGGCCAUCGCUCAACGGAUAAAAGGUACUCCGGGGAUAACAGGCUGAUACCGCCCAAGAGUUCAUAUCGACGGCGGUGUUUGGCACCUCGAUGUCGGCUCAUCACAUCCUGGGGCUGAAGUAGGUCCCAAGGGUAUGGCUGUUCGCCAUUUAAAGUGGUACGCGAGCUGGGUUUAGAACGUCGUGAGACAGUUCGGUCCCUAUCUGCCGUGGGCGCUGGAGAACUGAGGGGGGCUGCUCCUAGUACGAGAGGACCGGAGUGGACGCAUCACUGGUGUUCGGGUUGUCAUGCCAAUGGCACUGCCCGGUAGCUAAAUGCGGAAGAGAUAAGUGCUGAAAGCAUCUAAGCACGAAACUUGCCCCGAG
rnacentral:rRNA from 1 species